CCUACGGGUGGCAGCAGUGAGGAAUAUUGGUCAAUGGGCGGGAGCCUGAACCAGCCAAGUCGCGUGAGGGAAGACGGUCCUAUGGAUUGUAAACCUCUUUAGGCGGGGAGCAAUGCCGGGCACGUGUUCCCGGAGGGAGAGUACCCGCAGAAUAAGCAUCGGCUAACUCCGUGCCUGCAGCCGCGGUAAUACGGAGGAUGCGAGCGUUAUCCGGAUUUUUUGGGUUUAAAGGGUGCGUAGGCGGAUUUUUAAGUCAGCGGUAAAAGGUCGGGGCUCAACCCGGGCCGGCCGUUGGAACUGGGGAUCUUGAGUGGGCGGGAAGUAUGCGGAAUGCGUGGUGUAGCGGUGAAAUGCAUAGAUAUCACGCAGAACUCCGAUUGCGAAGGCAGCAUACCGGCGCCCGACUGACGCUGAGGCACGAAAGCGUGGGGAUCGAACAGGAUUAGAUACCCCGGUAGUC
rnacentral:rRNA from 1 species